rnacentral:tRNA from 1 species
UGUUAGGUGGCUGAGUCCUAAAGCGAUAGACUGUAGAUCUACUAACGAAGUUAAAUCUUCCCAACAA